AGAAACAAAGUUUCGGCCCACAACAGGACCUUUGUCAAGCUUGACAAAAACCCUGUUGUGGGCCGAAACCUUGUUUCU